rnacentral:rRNA from 1 species
CAGCCGCCGCGGGAAUACGUAGGGUGCAAGCGUUAAUCGGAAUUACUGGGCGUGAAGCGUGCGCAGGCGGUUAUAUAAGACAGAUGUGAAAUCCCCGGGCUCAACCUGGGAACUGCAUUUGUGACUGUAUAGCUAGAGUACGGCAGAGGGGGAUGGAAUUCCGCGUGUAGCAGUGAAAUGCGUAGAUAUGCGGAGGAACACCGAUGGCGAAGGCAAUCCCCUGGGCCUGUACUGACGCUCAUGCACGAAAGCGUGGGGAGCAAACAGGAUUAGAUACCCGCGUAGUCCCUGUCUCUUAUAC